rnacentral:lncRNA from 1 species
CUAUGCACCUCGGGUAUAUAUGAUGGAUCUAGUCUUCAUAAGUUAUACAUCCAUAAGGACCUCUCCAUCAUGACCUGUUGAAAAGUUAGUAAAUUAAUUGAAAUAUUGUCUAGGAAUAUUUGUUAUUAAAAAUAAAAGAACACCUAACAAUUGAAUCAAAUUGAAAAAGGAAACAUGGAAAUGGUGAGAGGAGAGGCAACAUCUUAAGCAUCCUCAUACAUGAAAAAUGCUUAUAUAUUUCUCUCUCUGCCCAAGCAUGGAAACACCAUUCAUGGAAACUACUACAUAUAUAUUUCUUGGAUUCACAAAUUAGAGAAGGAAACAUAAAAAUGAAGAGAGGAGAGACAUCAUAUAUCCAUCUUAAGCAACCUUAUUUGAGAAAAUAUAGACCAUACGUAGCUAUUCUACUCUCUCCCUCUCAUGGUGAAACCCUAGAUCCAAACAGCUCAAUUUGAGCAAGGGGGCACAAAAAGAGGCAUUAGAUUAAUCAACUAACCUUUCUUAGCCACUUCCUUCCAAGAAAUGAAGAUCAAAACCUCACCCUUGUAUUUUGACAUGUUGAAAAGUUAGUAAAUUAACUGAAAUAUUGUCUAGGAAUAUUUGUUAUCAAAAAUAAAAGAACACCUAACAAUUGAAUCAAAUUGAAAAAGUAAAACAAGUAUAAAAAUAAAGACAAAACCCUAAAUAUAUAUCUUUAUAUCACUAAAAUAAAAUUGACAAGGUACAGAAACACUGUUGUUUGAAACUAAAUAUAUUAUAUCACUAAAAAAUUUGAGAAGGAAACAUAGAAAUGGUGAGAGGAGAGGCAACAUCUGAAGCAACCUCAUAUAUAAAAAAUGCUUAUCGCAUAAUUAAAUCAAAUUUACAUAAAAAAUAACAUCCUAAACCAUAUAAUUUAAAAAACAAAAAAGAAAACUUAUCUUUCUCUCUCUUCCCAAGCAUGGAAACACCAUUCAUGGAAAGUACUACAUAUAUAUUUCUUGGAUUCACAAAUUAGAGAAGGAAACAUAAAAAAGAAGAGAGGAGAGACAUCAUAUAUCCAUCUUAAGAAACCUUAUUUGAGCAAAAUAGACCAUACCUAGCUAUUCUACUCUCUCUGUAUCAUGGUGAAACCCUAGAUCCAAAAAGUAGCUCAAAUUGAGCAAGAGGGCACAAAAAGAGGCAUCAGAGGCAUCAACUAACCUUUCUUAGCCACCUCCUUCUAAGAAAUGAAGAUCAAAAUCUCCCCCCUUGUAUUUUGAAAAAAUUGGACCUCCAAGAUGGGCUGCAAUGGAAGGUGGCUGCGAGCUACAGUUCUGCCCG